CCUACGGGUGGCAGCAGUAGGGAAUAUUGCUCAAUGGGGGAAACCCUGAAGCAGCAACGCCGCGUGGAGGAUGAAGGUUCUCGGAUUGUAAACUCCUUUUGUUAGAGAAGAUAAUGACGGUAUCUAAAGAAUAAUCACCGGCCAACUCCGUGCCAGCAGCCGCGGUAAUACGGAGGCUGCAAGCGUUACACGGAAUCACUGGGCGUAAAGAGCGCGUAGGCGGGAUAGCAAGUCAGAUGUGAAAUCCUAAGGCUUAACCAUAGAACUGCAUGUGAAACUGUUAUUCUAGAGUUUGGGAGAGGUAGGUGGAAUUCGUGGUGUAGGGGUAAAAUGCGUAGAGAUCAAGAGGAAUACUCAUUGCGAAGGCGACCUGCUAGAACAUAACUGACGCUGAUGCGCGAAAGCGUGGGGAGCAAACAGGAUUAGAUACCCGUGUAGUC
rnacentral:rRNA from 1 species